rnacentral:tRNA from 1 species
UCCGAUAUGGUGUAGUGGCCAACAUGAUGCCCUCUCAUCUCAUUGAGACUUUAGGCAUAGCCCCGAGUUCGAUUCUCGGUUUCGGAA